rnacentral:rRNA from 1 species
CACGUAUUUAGCCGGGGCUUCUUGGUCAGGUACCGUCAAUGUCUUCCCUGCUGACAGAGCUUUACAUACCGAAGUACUCCAUCGCUCACGCGGCGUCGCUGCAUCAGGGUUGCCCCCAUUGUGCAAUAUCCCCCCACUGCUGCCUCCCGUAGGAGUCUGGGCCGUGUCUCAGUCCCAAUGUGGCCGCCCACCCUCUCAGGCCGGCUACUGAUCGUCGCCUUGGUGGGCCGUUACCCCGCCAACAAGCUAAUCAGACGCGGACCCAUCCCGCACCGCCUGGGCUUUCCGCACAGCCCCAUGCGGGGCCGUGCGCAUAUGCGGUAUUAGCAGCCGUUUCCGGCUGUUGUCCCCCAGUGCGGGGUAGGUUGUCCACGCGUUACUCACCCGUCCGCCACUCAGUCACAGGGGCUUCCUUUCCGAAGAAAUUCCGCCCCAGCGCUUCGUUCGACUUGCAUGUGUUAGGCACGCCGCCAGCGUUCAUCCUGUAGCCGAGGAUACAAACUCUUACG